rnacentral:rRNA from 1 species
AUUGAACGCUGGCGGCAUGCCUUACACAUGCAAGUCGAACGGUAACGGGCCUUCGGGUGCCGACGUGUGGCGAACGGGCGAGUAAUACAUCGGAACGUGCCCGAUCGUGGGGGAUAACGAGGCGAAAGCUUUGCUAAUACCGCAUACGAUCUAUGGAUGAAAGCAGGGGCCCGGAAGGCCGUGCGCGGGCGGCGCGGCCGAUUGGGGAUUAGGUAGUUGGGGGGAUAAAAGCUUACCAAGCCGACGAUCUGUAGCUGGUCUGAGAGGAUGAUCAGCCACACUGGGACUGAGACACGGCCCAGACUCCUACGGGAGGCAGCAGUGGGGAAUUUUGGACAAUGGGCGCAAGCCUGAUCCAGCCAUGCCGCGUGCAGGAUGAAGGCCUUCGGGUUGUAAACUGCUUUUGUACGGAUCGAAAAGCCUUCUUUUAAUACAGGAGGGUCAUGACGGUACCGUAAGAAUAAGCACCGGCUAACUACGUG